rnacentral:rRNA from 1 species
CGUAGGGUGCGAGCGUUAAUCGGAAUUACUGGGCGUAAAGCGUGCGCAGGCGGUUUUGUAAGACAGAUGUGAAAUCCCCGGGCUCAACCUGGGACCUGCAUUUGUGACUGCAAGGCUAGAGUACGGUAGAGGGGGAUGGAAUUCCGCGUGUAGCAGUGAAAUGCGUAGAUAUGCGGAGGAACACCGAUGGCGAAGGCAAUCCCCUGGACCUGUACUGACGCUCAUGCACGAAAGCGUGGGAGCAAACAGGAUUAGAUACCCUGGUAGUCCACGCCGUAAACGAUGCAUACUAGACGUAUGGGGUAUCGACCCCCUGUGCGUCGAAGCUAACGCGAUAAGUAUGCCGCCUGGGAAGUACGGCCGCAAGGCUAA